UGGACGUCCCCUCCACCUUUCGGCACGAAAGCGAGGGAACGGAGAGCCAAAUCCACACGUAACGCCCACUUUCAUCCUCCCUUUGUCCCUCUGAUGCAUCAUUUCCCUACUUUAGAGUCGUGGACGAAGGAAACCAGUACGUGCCAACUUGGGGUUGCCAUGUUGUCAUUCUCUCUUCUUUUAUCUCAGCUUGGAGGUUGGAUGCUUAUUAAGAAUGUUGAAACUGCUCCAAAAACUUGGAUGCCAUGGGAACUGUGUAAACUACUCUUGCUAGCUCAAUGGAGAACAAAACCAACUGUUAAUCCAGAAUUCAGCUGUCAACCUCAAAUUGAUGCAUUUGAGGAUCAUCUCCAGCAUGAAUCUUGAGGAACCAAGGGGAGGGCAAAAGAAGAGGAUAGGUUGACGAUCCAAAUAUCCAAGUAAAGCCUGACCUUUGUUGGGAGUGUUUCCGAUACCUAAGUCAGAGUGAGUCCUAAAAUAAGAUUUAAAGACGGUAUGUAGAAAGACAUGUAUAAUUUUGAUUUCUAACUGUUUAAGGAUAGGACGAAUAUUUUUUGAAUAUUUUUCGGUUUUGAUUUGUGCUAAUGUGAUAAAUUUGGGUUAUUUUUAUUUUUGUUAAUAGUCAAGCUGUUUUUUACAUGUUAAG